rnacentral:rRNA from 1 species
GACGAACGCUGGCGGCGUGCCUAAUACAUGCAAGUCGAACGCAUUUUCUUUCACCGUAGCUUGCUACACCGAAAGAAAAUGAGUGGCGAACGGGUGAGUAACACGUGGGUAACCUGCCCAUCAGCGGGGGAUAACACUUGGAAACAGGUGCUAAUACCGCAUAAUUCCAUUUACCGCAUGGUAAAUGGAUGAAAGGCGCUUUUGCGUCACUGAUGGAUGGACCCGCGGUGCAUUAGCUAGUUGGUGGGGUAACGGCCUACCAAGGCUGCGAUGCAUAGCCGACCUGAGAGGGUGAUCGGCCACACUGGGACUGAGACACGGCCCAGACUCCUACGGGAGGCAGCAGUAGGGAAUCUUCGGCAAUGGACGCAAGUCUGACCGAGCAACGCCGCGUGAUUGAAGAAGGUUUUCGGAUCGUAAAACUCUGUUGUUAGAGAAGAACAAGGAUGAGAGUGGAAAGUUCAUCCCUUGACGGUAUCUAACCAGAAAGCCACGGCCAACUACGUG